AAGUUCCUUAAUUUUUUCCAAUGCACUUCGAAAUUUCAAGGAAACAUAAUAUAUCAAAAUUUAAUCACAUUAAAACAAACGACGAAAGCAAGAAUUUUAUAUUUAAGCUCUCAUUUAACCCUUUGGUUGAAAGGAGCAAAACGGAGCCGGGGGGCAUAUAGAAGCUUGAGCUUCGAAUCCAUUUAACAGAAACAUUUAAGUAAUCCAGAUAGAAGAUGUUGACAGCAAGUGGAAAAAGACGGUCAGGAACUCGAUUGUCUGAAAGCAUAUCGGUAAUCAGAUGAACUUCGGAACAACUUUGGUAUGAGAUUUGGUAGGGGCCGCGCGAACGCUGGCCCCCUCUGGCACAAAUUACGACGUAGGCUCUCCCAACUAGGGGAGACCUUAGACCAGCACCCCUCCUAAGUGCAAUGGAGGUCACUGACCUAGGCCAUGGGCCUUCCUGAUCACCCAUUGACCCCGUCCAGCAUUUCACGGGGCAGUGAAUGGACUGAAAGAGGAUUUGUUCCACUGAAAUGAGCAUGGAGGGAAAGGCCGAAUUGGAGGGAGAAGUGUGGAUUGUAGUAUGUUUUCAUAUACGUACUCUUCAAUGUAGUUUCAGGUUGAACGAGGUUCAAAGGUAGAGCUUCCUUCUGCAUUUGAGGCAAGCUGUGUCGAUGAGUGUUCCUGCCUGCUUCAAUCCAAACUAAUAGUCCUAAGGGAUCUGGAUGCCACUGUUCUGUUUCAUAUAUAGAGUGAGGGGAAGGGUGAUGUUAUGAAGUGAUUGUAUUGACACUCCUUCAAGCUCCUCGAAGUAUGGUGCUCGUAGGACUAUGGGGAUGGCUAAACGAUCCAAGGAGCAAAAUUGCCCAAGUAAUGAAGGGACGGGCCAAUCGGUAGGAAGAAAUACCAAAGGGGUACUGGAUUGGCCUAUGUUGCCAAGAGGGUAAUUCUAUCAGCAGUGGGCGUUGGUGGCGGCUAGCUAGCGCACAGGCAGUUGAUGGAGCGUGGUAGGCCUAUGGGAAGGGCCUGUACCAACUGGACCUGCAGGAUGCGCAAGAGUUGCGAGGCACGCAGGGGCUGCGAGAUGCGCAGGGGACGUGGGGCACUGUGGCGACAGGCCUGCGGAACGCCUACUGGCGCGGGGCAUGCAACAAGUGCACGACACGCAGGAUGCACAUGUGCUGCUGUGGAGCGCACAAGGCAGGCAUGCACAGGGAGCACGCCAGUAUCGCCGAGGGGCAUGCGCUGGUAGGCCUACAAAUCGAGGUUCGAGUGUGCGAGCUACAGUAAGGCGGUGCAAGGCCGGACAUGCUAAAAGGCGCGAGAAGCUUCUAGAAGGACUUGGGGCACGCCGAAAGUCGCCAGGGAAGUCUAGUUGGCCAAUGAAGGUUCCAGAUUGGCCUAGAAUUGGCUAGUGGCAUCCGGGGCAGUCAGGGGGCAGCCAAACCAGUCCAGAAGCUUCCAAAAACUUGCUGGGCAACAGGUUCUCUCCAACCAAGAGAGUCCCACGAGUUGGCUGGCCAGCAAAUCUAGAAUUCUCCCCAGAAUGUGAAAUUAUAAUUUAGUCCCUGAAACUUUUGGAAGGGGAAUUCUGGCUACAAAUUGGAGAGUGCAUUUCCACCGCAAGUUGAGGAGGUGGAAUGCAUAUAAAUAGGGGUGUUGGGCCAUUUGGACAGCAACAUGUGAGAGUCAUACUUGUGAGUUCUCUUGUAAACUUGUGAGACAUUCUUGUGAGAGUUUUGAGUGGUACUUGUACAUAGCUUAGCUUUGUAUUCUCACAUACAUUUGGUUGGGGAAAGCAUUAUGCCUCCAACUCUCACUUAGAACAAAUCCUCUUCCAGUCCAUUCACUGCCUGGUGAAAUGCUACCGGGACAAACAAAUAUUGUAGUAACCCCAAAGCUUCCGAGUUUUGAGUGGUACUUGUACAUAGCUUAGCAAUAUGUGGUGUUUGUUCUUAUAUAUUUGAAAUUAGAGCUCUCUUCUGACA